GACAGAGGCCCCGAGCGUUAAUCGGAAUCACUGGGCUUAAAGGGUGCGUAGGCCGGCCCGCAAGUGCUUUGUGAAAUCCCCCGGCUCAACCGGGGAAUAGCGGGGCAUACUGCGGGUCUUGAGGAAGGUAGGGGUUGCCGGAACUGUAGGUGGAGCGGUGAAAUGCGUAGAUAUCUACAGGAACGCCGAUGGUGAAGACGGGCAACUGGGCCUUUCCUGACGCUGAGGCACGAAAGCGUGGGGAGCAAACAGG
rnacentral:rRNA from 1 species